GGCCUUGACAUACUAAGAACUUCCAGAGAUGGAUUGGUGCCUUCGGGAACUUAGAUACAGGUGCUGCAUGGCUGUCGUCAGCUCGUGUCGUGAGAUGUUGGGUUAAGUCCCGNAACGAGCGCAACCUUUUCCUAUUUGCCAGCGGGUCAUGCCGGGAACUUUAAGGAUACUGCCAGUGACAAACUGGAGGAAGGCGGGGACGACGUCAAGUCAUCAUGGCCCUUACGGCCAGGGCUACACACGUGCUACAAUGGUCGGUACAAAGGGUUGCUACCUCGCGAGAGGAUGCUAAUCUCAAAAAGCCGAUCGUAGUCCGGAUCGCAGUCUGCAACUCGACUGCGUGAAGUCGGAAUCGCUAGUAAUCGCGGAUCAGAAUGCCGCGGUGAAUACGUUCCCGGGCCUUGUACACACCGCCCGUCACACCAUGGGAGUUUGUUGCACCAGAAGUAGGUAGUCUAACCGCAAGGAGGACGCUUACCACGGUGUGGCCGAUGACUGGGGUGAAGUCGUAACAAGGUAGGCGUAGAUGA
rnacentral:rRNA from 1 species